rnacentral:rRNA from 1 species
CCUACGGGAGGCAGCAGUGAGGAAUAUUGGUCAAUGGCCGAGAGGCUGAACCAGCCAAGUCGCGUGAGGGAAGACGGCUCUACGGGUUGUAAACCUCUUUUGUCGGGGAGCAAAGCGAGUCACGUGUGACUCAUUGAGAGUACCCGAAGAAAAAGCAUCGGCUAACUCCGUGCCAGCAGCCGCGGUAAUACGUAGGGGGCAAGCGUUAUCCGGAUUUACUGGGUGUAAAGGGAGCGUAGACGGCCAGACAAGUCUGAAGUGAAAAUCCAGCGCUUAACGUUGGAAGUGCUUUCGAAACUGCCGGG